rnacentral:rRNA from 1 species
AAAUUGAAGAGUUUGAUCAUGGCUCAGAUUGAACGCUGGCGGCAGGCCUAACACAUGCAAGUCGAACGGUAACAGGAAGCAGCUUGCUGCUUCGCUGACGAGUGGCGGACGGGUGAGUAAUGUCUGGGAAACUGCCUGAUGGAGGGGGAUAACUACUGGAAACGGUGGCUAAUACCGCAUAACGUCGCAAGACCAAAGAGGGGGACCUUCGGGCCUCUUGCCAUCAGAUGUGCCCAGAUGGGAUUAGCUUGUUGGUGAGGUAACGGCUCACCAAGGCGACGAUCCCUAGCUGGUCUGAGAGGAUGACCAGCCACACUGGAACUGAGACACGGUCCAGACUCCUACGGGAGGCAGCAGUGGGGAAUAUUGCACAAUGGGCGCAAGCCUGAUGCAGCCAUGCCGCGUGUAUGAAGAAGGCCUUCGGGUUGUAAAGUACUUUCAGCGGGGAGGAAGGUGUUGUGGUUAAUAACCGCAGCAAUUGACGUUACCCGCAGAAGAAGCACCGGCUAACUCCGUGCCAGCAGCCGCGGUAAUACGGAGGGUGCAAGCGUUAAUCGGAAUUACUGGGCGUAAAGCGCACGCAGGCGGUCUGUCAAGUCGGAUGUGAAAUCCCCGGGCUCAACCUGGGAACUGCAUUCGAAACUGGCAGG